rnacentral:rRNA from 1 species
CAGCAGCCACGGGAAUACGGAGGGUGCAAGCGUUAUCCGGAUUUAUUGGGUUUAAAGGGUCCGUAGGCGGAUCUGUAAGUCAGUGGUGAAAUCUCACAGCUUAACUGUGAAACUGCCAUUGAUACUGCAGGUCUUGAGUAAAUUUGAAGUGGCUGGAAUAAGUAGUGUAGCGGUGAAAUGCAUAGAUAUUACUUAGAACACCAAUUGCGAAGGCAGGUCACUAAGAUUUAACUGACGCUGAUGGACGAAAGCGUGGGGAGCGAACAGGAUUAGAUACCCCUGUAGUCCCUGUCUCUUAUAU